GAGCUAUGGCUGGUCGAAGGAUAUUCGACUUACCACCGUCUAUCACACAAUGCGACCUCAGUCGCAUUCAUGACUCACCGACCGAGCUACGGUCGGCCGGAAGAUAUUCGGCUUACCACUGUAUAUCAUGAGGCACAGUAUAAAUACCCGACACAAGGGUAUCGGGAUCCGACUUAUCGUCGAUCCCCCGACUAAAUGCA
rnacentral:lncRNA from 1 species